rnacentral:misc_RNA from 1 species
UGUUGACAGAAGAUAGAGAGCACAGAUGAUGUUUUGCAGUAGACUCUGGAUCUCACUCCUUUGUGCUCUCUAUGCUUCUGCCAUCACCU